rnacentral:rRNA from 1 species
UACUCCUACGGGAGGCAGCAGCCGCGGUAAUAGCGGGUCCGACUGACGGUACCUCCACAAGAAGCCCCGGCUAACUCCGUGCCAGCAGCCGCGGUAAU